rnacentral:rRNA from 1 species
CGCCCUUCGUGUGUUUUUAUGAGGGGUUGGACCUGCCCGGUGAUUAGUCAAGUUUUGAAGUUAUAAAUAUAAUUAGAAAUUUUUUUAAACGGCUGCAAUUGAUAAUUGUGCUAAGGUAGCGUAAUCAUUUGCCCCUUAAUUAGGGGAAGGUAUGAAUGGUUUGACGUGGAAAAAGCUGUCUCUUUUAUAUAAAAAGAAGUUUAUUUUUGAGUGAAAAAGCUUAAAUAUUUAUAAAAGACGAGAAGACCCUAUCGAACUUGAAUUAUUUAUUUAAAUUUUUAAAUACAAAAAGUUUAGUUGGGGAAACUUAAAGUUAAAAAAAACGCUUUUUUGUUAUAAAAUGAUCCUGUAUUAUGGAAAAAUGAAAAAGUUACCGUAGGGAUAACAGCGCUUUCUUCUCUGAGAGGACUAAUUAAAGAGUUGGUUGCGACCUCGAUGUUGGAUUAAGGUUUCUUUUUGGGGUAGGGGUUAAAAUAGUAAAACUGUUCGUUUUUUAAAACCUU